rnacentral:tmRNA from 1 species
GGGGUUGACAGGUUUUGACAGCGUGUAGAAGAGGUGUGUAAGCGUGCAGAGCUUUGAGGUCUAUGCUCUAUAAUAUCAGGCUUCGAACAAUUUAAAUGGCGAAAAUAACUACGCUCUUGCUGCUUGAUUGAAGUACAGUAGAUCAGCUUAAUCGCCGCAAAAGUUGCAGCGACAAGACAUCGCCCGACUGUCCUUUUUCCGAGACGUGUCGACCAGGCGGUGCAGGAAUAUCGGGAAUAGGUAGCCAAGAACCUCGCGAGGCAACCGAAAUUUUAGAGGUUAAGGUCGUGGUUGGUAGUUUCAGGCCUGCCACAGCACGAAAAUCAACUUGAAACUACGCACGUAGAAAGCGCAUUAAUUCCGCGUUUGGACGAGGGUUCGAAUCCCUCCAGCUCCACUA